UCCUACGGGAGGCAGCAGUAGGGAAUCUUGCGCAAUGGGGGCAACCCUGACGCAGCAACGCCGCGUGUGGGAUGACGGCUUUCGGGUUGUAAACCACUUUCAGUGAUGACGAAAAUGACGGUAAUCACAGAAGAAGGUCCGGCCAACUACGUGCCAGCAGCCGCGGUAACACGUAGGGACCGAGCGUUGUCCGGAUUUAUUGGGCGUAAAGAGCUCGUAGGCGGUUCUGUAAGUCGGAUGUGAAAACUCAGGGCUCAACCCUGAGACGCCAUCUGAUACUGCAGUGACUAGAGUCCGGUAGAGGAAGAUGGAAUUCCUGGUGUAGCGGUGGAAUGCGCAGAUAUCAGGAGGAACACCAAUGGCGAAGGCAGUCUUCUGGGCCGGUACUGACGCAGAGGAGCGAAAGCAUGGGGAGCAAACAGGAUUAGAUACCCUGGUAGUCCAUGCCGUAAACGUUGGGCACUAGGUGUGGGGUCUUCUAACGGAUUUCGUGCCGUAGCUAACGCAUUAAGUGCCCCGCCUGGGGAGUACGGCCGCAAGGCUAAAACUCAAAUGAAUUGACGGA
rnacentral:rRNA from 1 species